rnacentral:rRNA from 1 species
AGAGUUUGAUCCUGGCUCAGAAUUGAACGCUGGCGGCGUGCCUAACACAUGCAAGUCGAGCGGUAACAGGUGUAGCAAUACAUGCUGACGAGCGGCGAACGGGCGAGUAAUGCUUUGGAAUCUUCCCAGUAGUGGGGAAUAACCAGUCGAAAGAUUGGCUAAUACCGCAUACGUCUGUAAAGGGAAAGCGGGGGCUCGUAAGAGACCUCGCCGCUAUUGGAUGAGCCAAAGUCGGAUUAGCUAGUUGGUGGGGUUAAUGGGCCUACCCAGGGCCGACCAUUCCGGUAAGCCUGGGUUCUGGAAGAAGGGAACCGAACCCCAGCCCCCACCACCCCGGGGAAAAACUGGAAAGAAACCACCGGGGUUUCCCGGGGAAACCUCCCCUAACCGGGGGAAGGGCCAAGCCAGGUUGGGGGGAAAAUAUUUUGGAACCAAAUGGG